rnacentral:rRNA from 1 species
UACGAAGGGGGGCUAGCGUUGCUCGGAAUCACUGGGCGUAAAGCGCACGUUAGGCGGCUUUCUAAGUCCGUUGUGAAAGUCACAGGCUCAACCUGUGAAUGCCGCUGGAAACUGUCCGGCUAGAGUCCGGAAGGGGCGAGUGGAAUUCCUGGUGUAGCGGUGAAAUGCGCAGAUAUCAGGAAGAACACCCGUGGCGAAGGCGGCUCUCUGGGGACGGGUACUGACGCUGAGACGCGAAAGCCUAGGGGAGCGAACAGG